AUGUUGGUGUGGAAUGUCCGAGGGCUUAAUGCUCCGGCUAGGAGGAACGCAUUAUUCCAAGUGGUGACAUCGGCCAAUCUGGCCAUUGUAUGUCUACAAGAGACUAAAUUGCAUGAUGUAUCGGGAAGCAUUGUGCGUCAAUGCCUUGGAAAUAAAUCUAAGAAGUUCUUUUAAUUACCGGCGUUAGGCAUGCGUGGUGGGAUCUUGGUGGCUUGGGACGAAUCUAUUACUCACUUGUCCAAUCCGCACUAUACAAAUCAUACAUUGACGGCACUGGUCAAGUGUCCAGAGGAUGAGCAAGCCUGGUGGCUGACAAAGUGGAGUUCAUGCAAGACCUGGUGGAUAUACGGGACCUGCACGCGGGGCCAUGGCUGGUUGCUGGAGACUUUAACCUCAUAG
rnacentral:rRNA from 1 species